CCUGGGGUUGUGGCUGGAAGUAAAUGGGUGGCAGGAAAUAAAAAGCUAUUAAAAAGUGUCUGAUGCCUCUGCUCUUCCAUCUAAGAAUGUGAGGAUAAAAGCAAUAUCUCCAGACAGGAUUCAGAUCCCAGCCUACAGUUUAGUUUGGGGCGGGGGGAGUCCACGAAGCGCCUGCUUCUGAGGGUGGCCCAGGAGAGUCUUUCUACAUAACUUUUCUGGGACUGGAGCCGAACUUCACAGGAAAUCUGGCCACGGCCCAUCAGACCAGGGCCUCCUGCAGGAGCCAGGGACCAGACGACUGGCCUCAGGGGUGGUGGGAGAUGAGUUCUUGUUAUUGCAUUGUCUUUACUGUUGUUAAAAAACAAUGCUUGUAUGUAUUCAGGGUGCUUAAUUUGAUGUUCUGAUACUCAUAUACAUUGUGAAAUGAUUACCACAAUCAAGCUAACGAACGUGCAUUGCCUCACAGUUACCAUCUUGGCAAAUUUCAAGUGUCCAAGGCAGUAUUGUAACUAGAGUCCCAUUGCUGUCCACUGGAUUUCUGGGACCUAUUCAUCCUACGUGACUAAAACAUGGUACUCUUUGCCAUCUGCUCCCUCCCCACCUGCCGCUUGUCCCUGGUAACUGCUACUUUACUCUCUGUUUCUAUGAAUUUGACUUUUUUGGUUGCACGUGUAAGUAAGGCGGUGUAGUAUUUGUCUUUUUGUGUCAGGUUUAUUUCACUUAGCACAAAAUCCUCCAGGUUCAUCCAUGUUGAUGCAAAUGGCAGCAUUUUCUUCUUUUAAAAGGCUGAGUCAUAUUUAUAUAUAAAUAAAUCAAUCCCUGGGAUUUAUAAUCUCAUACACAUAAUGUGUAUAUACUUAUAACCUCAUAUAUAUGUGAGAUUUCUUUACUUUUUUUUUUUUUUUUUUUUUNCCACAUAUUUGGCCUCACUCAUGGCAUAUGGAGGUUCCCAGGUUAGGGGUUGAAUCGGAGCUACAGCUGCUGACCUACACCACAGCCACAGCAAUGCAGGAUCUGCGCUGUGUCUGCAACCUAUACCACAGCUCACGGCAACGCCAGAUCCUUAACCCACUGAGUGAGGCCAGGGAUCGAACCUGCAACAUUAUGGUUCCUGCUCAGAUGCAUUUCCCCUGCACCACAAUGGGAAAUCUGAGAUUUCUUUAUCAUUCACCCAUCAGUGAACACCUAGAUUGUGUCCAUAUCUUGGCCAUUGCAAAUAAUGCUACAGUGAGGAGUUCCCAUCGUGGUGCAGUGGUUAAGGAAUCCGACUAGGAACCAUGAGGUUGCAGGUUCGAUCCCUGGCCUUGCUCAGUGGGUUAAGGAUCCGGUGUUGCCAUGAGCUGUGGUGUAGGUUGCAGACACAGCUCGGAUCCCGUGUUGCUGCGGCUCUGGCGUAGGUCGGCGGCUACAGCUCCGAUUAGACCCCUAGUCUGGGAACCUCCAUAUGCCACAGGAAGCAGCCUAGAAAAGGCAAAAAGACAAAAUAAUAAUAAUAAUAAUGAUAAUUAUGAUGAUGAUGAUGAUGAUAAUAAUAAUGCAGUGAAUGUGGAGGUGCAGAUGUCUCUUUGAGAUCCAGAUUUCAUUUCCUUUGGACACCUGCCCAGAAGUGACAUCGCUAGAUUGUAUGGGAUGCUGGAUGGCAAUAAACUGACCCAAUAGGAACCUCUUUUUUGCUGGAUGUACUCUGGGAGCACAGAGAUUGGACCCUCACCCCAGCUCAGUCUGGAUUCUGGAGGACCCCUUUCUACAGCAGCCUAGAUUUCCCGAGGCCACUGCAUGUCCUGGCACUGACUCCCUGAGCUGCUGAGGGAUCUUGUGGUGUCCCAGCACCUCUUCCCACCACCCCUCCAGGAAGCUGGCUUUCGAUCAAGUCCCUGCUAGAAGGGAGCAGCCUUAGGAGAAGGACAACCCCAUACUGCAACAGGGACAAAGGGAAAAGAACAGGUCUCUUCUGGACUGGGGUGUCUGAUCUGCUGACCCAAGGCUCCCACAGGCUACUUUCUUCUCUUUCAUCCCCAGCCUUCUUUUCUAAGAUGUUCUAAGGAGUCUUGCCUCUCCUUUUCUAAAUUGGUACAGUCCCACAGCUGGAGGGGUCAUUAUGUCUCCUAAGGAAGCCACCUCCAAAUCAUUCCUUUCCCUUGGCCGGCUCUGGAAGCUUCCUGAGCCUCAGAACCCCCAGCAAACCUUCCAAAACCCACCUGAGGCCCUGUUCGGCUGAGCAAAUUAGUCAGUGUGCAAAGGUGCCUUGGGCCUGGGGCUCACUGACCAGCCUGCCAAAGGACCCGCUGACUCCAGGUCCCUCCUUCUGAGCGGUAACUGCAGGGCUAGGCCUGGACACUGGAGCUGGAGGGACAUCCAGGGACAGCGCUGGGUUCAAGGAUAUUCCCCCUCCCCACCUCCCAGGGCUCUGAGAUGAGGCGUGCAUGCUGCCUUCCCCUCACUCAGCAGGCAGAGCUGGCCACCUUCCAAGGAGUCUUAGCCCUGGAAUCCAGACUCUUCUCCUCCCCUUCCUCGCCUGCACCCAGAGGGCUUUGAUCAAAGUAAGAAGAGAAGUUAACAGGUUUCAUGGAAGUAGAGUCGUGCGGAAACCAUGGGAGACGUGGUUAGCUUCUCUGUCAGUAAUUUAAACCUAGAAGGUUUCCAGAAAUGGCUGAGCUGGGGAACUGACCCCAAACACCUGGCCUUUUGCCAGUUUGAGGAGACUAAGGAAGGGAGCUGGAGCCUCUGGCUCAGGGCAUUACCCUCCGGGAGAAUCAGCCCCACUGUCCCAGGGCCCACACUGUGCAGGCUUUUUCUCCCAACAUCAAAAUCCUGCAAGGGUCUAUGUCUACCUGUAAAGCAUGAGCCAGGUUCAGAAGUUUGCCAACCCUGUAUCUGAGCCAGUGGUUUAUCACCCUUCUCCUGCCCAUCAGCAGAGGGUAGCACCUGUCAUCUAGGUGAAUAGGAGGGAAGCAAAGGAUACUGGGAAAGGCCUGGGAAUACUUGUGGUGAAGAGCCAGAUGGAUCUGACUCUUGCCAUCUGAUGAUCUUGGGCAAGUUACUUAACUACACGGAACCCCAGCUUCUUUGUUUGACGAAUAGUGGCAAUACCAUCUACUCUUGGGACUUUGUGGGGAAUAGUGAGCUACCCAUGUAAAAUGCUUAGCACUGUGCUUGCCACAAAAUUAGACCUCAAAAAAAUGUACACUAUUAUAUAUAAAAUAGAUGGGCAACUAGGACCUACCAUACAGCACAGGCAAAUUUAUUCAGUACUGUGUAAUAACCUAUAUGGGAAAAGAAUCUGGAAAGGAAUGGAUAUAUAUAUAUAUGUGCGUGUGUGUGUGUGUGAUUUACUUUUCUGUACUCCUGAAAUUAACACAACUUUUAAGUCAGCUAGAUUGCAAUAAAAUUUAAAUGAAUAAAUACAUCAAAUUUGAUUUUCUAAAAAAAAAAAAAAAAACGUAGCUAGUAGUUCCCAUUGUGGCUAUGUGGAAAUAAAUUUGACUAGAAUCUAUGAGGAUGCAGGUUCGAUCCCUGGCCUUGCUUGGUGGGUUAAGGAUCCAGUGUUGCUGUAAGCUGUGGUGUGGGUUGCAGACGCAGCUUGGAUCUGGUGUUUCUUGUAUCUAUGUUUCUGUAAACAUAGUACAUGCCUUAGUUUAAAAAAAUCUUCCUGUGCUAAAAAAUGCCUACCACCAUCUGAGCCAUCAGUGAGCUGUAGCAGAUCAAGGAUCACUGACCACAGUUCACCAUAACAAACAUAAUAAUUAUUUUUAAAGAAUUUGAAAUGUUGCAAGAACUACUAAAAUGUGGCACAAAGACAGGAAGUAAGCAAAUGCUGUUGGAAAAAAAACGGUGCUGAUAAACUUGCUUGACUCAGGGUUGCCACAAAUGUUCAAUUUGUAAAAACGACAAUAUCUGGAAAGAACAGCAAAACAAGAUAUGCCUGAUUUAACCUCUUAAUGUUGUAAUAUCUAUCCAUUCAUCUACCCAAUGAAUAGUAGUUGAUGACCAGCUAAGAACAUACCAGUGAAAACAGGACACACAAAAUUUCCAUCCUUGUGAGUCUAGUGAGUACAGGCAAAUAAUAUAUGAUAGCACUGAUAUUUAAUUACAAUUGUCAUUAAUGUGAUUGUACACAAAAUGUCAUCUGGGAAUGCCCACAGUCUAGAUAAAAUCAGCUCACAUUCCCAAACCACUUUCAAGAAGAUGAAAGACCUGUACACUACAUCUGUUGAAAUAACCAUACACUGAAAACUGGGAGACAUUGAUGAAAGAAACCGAAGAAACAAAUACAUGGAAAAAUAUUCCAUGCUUAUUGACUGGAGAAAUUAAUAUUGUUAAAAUGUCCAUCCUGCCCAAAGCAAUCUAGAGAUUCAAUGAAAUCUUUAUAAAAAUUUCAAUGAUAUUUUCACAGAAAUUUAAAAAAUCCUAAAAUGUGUAUGGAAUCACAAAGACAAUGGAUAGCCAGCUGAAGCAAUCCUGGGAAAGAAGAAUAAAGCUGGAGGCAUCACAUUUCCUGAUUACCAAUUAUAUUACGAAGUUAUAGUAAUCAAAAUAGCAUGAUAUUAGUAUAAAAACAAAUGUAAAAUCAAUGUAACAGAAUAGAGAGCCCCCAAAUUAAUAUACAAAUGGUUAAUUUAUUUUCAACAAAGGAGCUAAAAAUAUCCAGUGGGGAAAUGAUAAUGAUCCCAAUAAACAGUGUUGGGAAACUGGAUUACCACGUCCAAAAGAAUAAAACCAAACUCUUAAGCCAUUCACAAAAUCAACUCAAAAUGAACCAAAGACUUAAACAUAAGACCUGAAACUAUAAAACUCCUAAAAGAAACCAUAGGGGGUAAGCUCCUUGACUUUGGUCUCGGCAAUGAUUUUUUUGGGAUUUGACACCAAAAGCAAAGGUAACAAAAGCAAAAAUAAAUAAGGAGGACUACAUCAAACUAAAAGCUUUUGCUCAGUAAAAUAAACCACCAGCAAAAUGAAAAGACAGCCUAUAGAAUGGGAGAAAGCAUUUGCAAACCAUACAUAUGAUAAGAGCUUAGUAUCUGAAAUAUAAAGGGAAUUCACGCAACUCAAUAGCAAUAAAUAAAUAAAUAAAUAAACAAUUUAAAAAUAGACAAAGGACCUGAAAAGGCAAUUUUCCAAAGAAGAUAGGCAAAUGCCCAACAGGUAGAUGAAAAUGUGCUCAAUAUCACUGAUCAGGGAAAUACAAAUCAAAACCAUAAUGAGAUACCACCUCACAUCUGUUAGAACAGUUAUCCAA
rnacentral:lncRNA from 1 species